UACGAAGGGGGCUAGCGUUGUUCGGAUUUACUGGGCGUAAAGCGCACGUAGGCGGAUUGGUCAGUUAGGGGUGAAAUCCCGAAGCUCAACUUCGGAACUGCCUUUAAUACUGCCAGUCUAGAGUCCGGAAGAGGUAAGUGGAACUCCUAGUGUAGAGGUGGAAUUCGUAGAUAUUAGGAAGAACACCAGUGGCGAAGGCGGCUUACUGGUCCGGUACUGACGCUGAGGUGCGAAAGCAUGGGGAGCGAACAGG
rnacentral:rRNA from 1 species